rnacentral:rRNA from 1 species
UACGGCGGGCGCGAGCGGUACCCGGAUUUACUGGGUGUAAAGGGCGUGUAGGCGGUCUCUCAAGUCCGAUGCUAAAGACCGAAGCUCAACUUCGGGGGUGCGUUGGAUACUGUGAGGCUAGACGGUCGGAGGGGGUAGCGGAAUUUCCGGAGUAGCGGUGAAAUGCGCAGAUACCGGAAGGAACGCCGAUAGCGAAGGCAGCUACCUGGACGAUUGGUGACGCUGAGACGCGAAAGCGUGGGGAGCAAACCGG